UACCAGCACCCCGAGUGGUCGGGACGAUUAUUGGGCCUAAAGCAUCCGUAGCCGGUCCUACAAGUCUUCCGUUAAAUCCACCUGCUCAACAGAUGGGCUGCGGAAGAUACUAUAGGGCUAGGAGGCGGGAGAGGCAAGCGGUACUCAGUGGGUAGGGGUAAAAUCCUCUGAUCCAUUGAAGACCACCAGUGGCGAAGGCGGCUUGCCAGAACGCGCUCGACG
rnacentral:rRNA from 1 species